rnacentral:rRNA from 1 species
UACGGAGGGUGCAAGCGUUGCUCGGAAUUAUUGGGCGUAAAGGGUAGGUAGGUGGUCUCAUUUGUCUGGGGUGAAAGCCUUGAGCUUAACUCAAGAAGUGCCCCAGAAACGGUGAGACUAGAGUUCUGGAGAGGGUCGUGGAAUUCCCGGUGUAGCGGUGAAAUGCGUAGAGAUCGGGAGGAACACCAGAGGCGAAGGCGGCGACCUGGACAGAUACUGACACUGAACUACGAAAGCGUGGGGAGCAAACAGG